UACGUAGGGUGCGAGCGUUGUCCGGAUUUAUUGGGCGUAAAGAGCUCGUAGGCGGCUUGUCGCGUCGACUGUGAAAACCUGCGGCUCAACCGUGUGGUCUGCAGUCGAUACGGGCAGGCUGGAGUUCGGUAGGGGAGACUGGAAUUCCUGGUGUAGCGGUGAAAUGCGCAGAUAUCAAGAGGAACACCUGAGGUGAAGACGGGUUGCUGGGCUGACACUGACGCUGAGGCGCGAAAGCUAGGGUAGCAAACGGG
rnacentral:rRNA from 1 species